UUCUACUCCUUCCUUCCACAGUAGUUGAAAGACCUCUGAAGUGGGGAGACCCUCACUCAAGUCUCGGGAUGACGAGACCCCCCAAGAACUCAUGAGAGACC
rnacentral:pre_miRNA from 14 species